rnacentral:rRNA from 1 species
CCUACGGGGGGCUGCAGUGAGGAAUUUUGCGCAAUGGGGGAAACCCUGACGCAGCAACGCCGCGUGAGUGAAGAAGGCCUUCGGGUCGUAAAGCUCUGUCAAGAGGGAAGAAAGAGGGAUGCAGUAAUACUGUAUUUUUUUGACGGUACCUCUGAAGGAAGCACCGGCUAACUCCGUGCCAGCAGCCGCGGUAAUACGGGGGGUGCAAGCGUGAUUCGGAUUCGCUGGGCGGAAUUAGCAAGUCAGCGGUGAAAGCCCUGGGCUCAACCUGGGAAGUGCAUUUGAAACUAGUAGACUUGAGUAUGGGAGAGGGGAGUGGAAUUCCUGGUGUAGAGGUGAAAUUCGUAGAUAUCAGGAGGAACACCGGUGGCGAAGGCGACUUCCUGGACCAAUACUGACGCUGAGGCGCGAAGGCGUGGGGAGCAAACAGGAUUAGAUACCCCUGUAGUC